rnacentral:rRNA from 1 species
GAUGAACGCUGGCGGCGUGCUUAACACAUGCAAGUCGAACGAGAAGUGAAGACGGAAACCUUCGGGCGGAAGGCUUUAUUUCGAGUGGCGGACGGGUGAGUAACGCGUGGGUAACCUGCCUCAUACAGGGGGAUAACAGUUGGAAACGACUGUUAAUACUGCAUAAGACCACAGCACCGCAUGGUGCGGGGGUAAAAACUCCGGUGGUAUGAGAUGGACCCGCGUUCGAUUAGCCAGUUGGCGGGGUAACGGCCCACCAAAGCGACGAUCGAUAGCCGAUCUGAGAGGAUGACCGGCCACAUUGGGACUGAGACACGGCCCAAACUCCUACGGGAGGCAGCAGUGGGGAAUAUUGCACAAUGGGGGAAACCCUGAUGCAGCGACGCCGCGUGAGUGAAGAAGUAUUUCGGUAUGUAAAGCUCUAUCAGCAGGGAAGAAAAUGACGGUACCUGAGUAAGAAGCCCCGGCUAACUACGUG